UAUAUCGACCUUGACCUCGUACACAUCUGAAGGUCAUCUGUUCGCUCAUUUUAUACGGGAAUCUCAAUGACGAUGUUAAAAAUCGAUGGAUGAUACAUGAAUGAAUUUUAAGUAAAUCCUAACACAUCAUUAUGAGGAACAGAAGUAACUCCGGCAUACGCUUAGAUUAUUACCAGAGACUUGUUAACAAGAGUAUUUUGAAGUAUCAGAACCCAGCAACUGGACUGUUAUCGGCCAGUGAAAGCAGCAGCCAUGCAUGGGUGAGAGACAAUGUGUACUCCAUCAUGGCGGUGUGGGGCCUGGCCCUCGCCUACAGGAAGGCAGCCGACUUGGAUGAAGACAGAUCCAAGGCUUACGAGCUGGAACAGUCGGUGGUGAAGAACAUGCGGGGGCUGCUACGGUGCAUGAUGAUGCAGGUUGACAAGCUGGAGAGGUUUAAGAAGACACAGAACCCCAAGGAUUCUCUCCACGCCAAGUUCUGCAGCAAGACUGGUAAGGCUGUUGUUGGUGACCACGAAUGGGGCCAUCUCCAGCUGGACGCAACAUCGCUGUUCCUGCUUACACUGGCUCAGAUGACAGCAACAGGCUUGCAGAUAGUCUACACGCUGGACGAGGUGGCGUUCAUUCAGAACCUCGUCUUCUACAUAGAGACAGCGUACCGCACACCAGAUUAUGGUAUCUGGGAGAGAGGAGACAAGACCAAUCACGGCCUUCCAGAACUCAACUCCAGUUCCAUCGGCAUGACCAAGGCUGCAUUGGAUGCCAUCAAUGAGUUGGAUCUGUUUGGCGCCCGCGGUGGUCCGUCCUCCAUCAUCCAUGUCCUCCCAGAUGAAGCUCAGCAAUGUCAGGCCAUUCUUCACUCCAUGAUGCCAAGGGAGUCUUCAUCCAAGGAGAUUGAUGCUGGACUGCUGACUGUGAUCGGAUAUCCUGCCUUCGCUGUGGACGAUGUGGAGCUGAUUGACCACACGCGACGCACAAUUCAAGAGAAACUGGAGGGAAGAUAUGGAUGCAGCCGCUUCCUCAGGGAUGGCUACAAGACAGCUAAAGAGAACCCCAACAGGCUCCACUAUGAACCCUGGGAGCUGCGAGUGUUUGAGAACAUCGAGUGUCAGUGGCCCAUAUUCUUUGCUUUCUUCAUCCUCGACGGGCUCUUCAACAACGACAAACAAAGGGUAGAAAAGUACCGUCAGCGUCUGGACGAUGUGAUGAUGAAGACGGAAGAUGGCGUACCCAUCAUGCCUGAGUUGUACUACGUCCCUGGAGACAAGGUUGAUGAAGAAUACAAGAAACCCAACAGCCAGAAGCGUCUCUCCGGGGGCAAGAUCCCCCAGAUGUGGGGACAGUCGAUGUACAUCCUGGGCCGACUCAUCUACGAGGGUUUUCUGUCACCUGGUGAACUUGACCCACUCAACAGAAGACUAGUGUCGGACACCAAGCCAGAUAUUGUUGUUCAAGUUGUGAUCCUGUGUGAAGACACUGUGGUUCAGGACAAGCUGUCCCAGCAAGGCAUCGAACUGGAGACGAUGAAAGACGUGGCCCCCAUCCAGGUCUACCCCGCUAGGGUGCUCAGCCAGAUAUACUCCCUGCUGGGAAAGAAUAACCGCCUUGGUUUGACUGGGCGGCCCUCCAGUGAAAUUGGUCUCCUAGCAACCAGUAAACUCUACAUGCUGCAGGACCAGAUUCUAGCGUUCAUUCCUCAAUUUAUGGACGAGCAGCGCUUCUACGUGGCUCAGGACACUAGCUUCAUGUUGGAUUUCCUCCGUACUGAGAUAGCCUACCUCAAGAGCAGCUGGAACUCCCUGGGCAGACCCACCAUCACAAUCUCUAUCUCUCACACACUUCUUGACACCUUCAACGCCCCGACGUCUGCCCUGACGGCCACCAUCAAGAAGCUGCAGACAGGCUACAUCCACGGCACAAGAGUGCAUCUUGGCAAGUUGUCCGACUUCCUCACCACAUCGUGUGUCACCAAGCUCAGUUUCGUCCGGGACCUGGACGACCCAAACCAAUGUGAGGCCACAGUGAUGCAGUUCAUCGGUAACAUCAUGAGCCCUACCUGUCCACGACCUCACCUUCUGUCCCGCACCCGCAAAGGUCGUGUGCGCAAGAUACAGAGGUCACAGUCAGUUCAUGGUAUUGUACGAAGGUCAAGGUCAAUUCAGAUUGACCCAGAUCAAGUACCAGAAAUCCAUGCCCAGUUGGAAAGUUUACAGCCCAAAGUCAGUAGCCCUAGUACAGUGAGUCCAGUAAAUGAUGAAGUGGGCAGUCGUAGUGUCAAUAGUAGCGUGUCCACGAGUCCUACCUCCUCCUGCAAUGAAGAUCUUGAGUUCCGUAACCUUCACAUGCACCUGAAGGAGUCGAGGGAGAGCCUCCACGCACCCCCUAGCAGCAGCCCCCUCGGCAGCCCCCAGGCCUCCCCCACGGGUCACCGGAAACGUCUUGUGGACACCCAAGAGGAAAUCAACAUCACUGAGCUGGUGGACACACUGUCCCAAACUGAGAACCUGCAGGAGCAAGCUGACAUCAUACACUACCUGUACAUACAGAAAGGCCCUGACUAUGAUACCAAGAUCGGCGAGGACACAUGCACUGUCAAGCAGCUGCUUACAGAGUUGUAUGAGAAGGCGGGACACUGGAAGCAGUGGUGGCUGGUCCGACACACAGCUGGGAUGCUGAGGAAGAGAGUGGAGGACUUGGCCCUGGCUGCCACAGACUUGUUGGUGAGACAGAAACAGCUGUCCGUGGGCAUGCCCCCCGACAGGGAGAAGAUCAUCACCAGUCCACUUCCCCCAGAGGAGCUGGCCUCCAUCAUAUUUGAUGCCUGUGGAGAGGACACCAGCACUGCUUCACUUACUCAGGAGCUGCUAAUCUAUCUGGCAAUGUUUAUCAGGACAGAGCCAAAACUGCUCCACGAGAUGCUGCGUCUUCGUGUCGGCCUCAUCAUACAGGUGAUGGCCAUGGAACUGUCUCGAACACUUCAGUGUACAGGGGAAGAGGCCUCAGACUAUCUGUUGAAUCUCAGUCCCUUUGAGAUGAAAACUCUACUGCAUCACAUUCUCAGUGGCAAGGAGUUUGUCAUCAGCAAAGCAUCUGGCAAGAUUCUCUUUGAACUUAGAUAUAGCAAACACUCCUCCACGACCAUGAAGACGAGAAACGACUCACCGUCAAAUCUAAACAAACACGAGAGGAAACAAAGUCAUUUGCUCGUCUCAGUCAAAAAAAGGUAGCUCUAGAUGGAAUGUGGGGGCACAGAUUGUACAGAUGAGCAGGAAAAAGUCAUCGAUUGUCAGCCAGAGUGAUCUCCCCUUGAUAAGCACCGCAGAGGAAGAUGCAGAUGACAGUUCC
rnacentral:misc_RNA from 1 species